CCCCUCUCAGGAUGGCACCCGGAGAGUUUCCAGUACCCUGCCAGUCUCGGCUAUGGGAGGGAGAGUCAAGCAGAGGCCUACCCAUUCCAUUCCUAGCCUGGGCAGUGGCUAGAGAGUGGAAGGCAAUCGGCUACAGGU
rnacentral:snoRNA from 1 species